rnacentral:rRNA from 1 species
AUUGAACGCUGGCGGCAUGCCUUACACAUGCAAGUCGAACGGCAGCACGGAGCUUGCUCUGGUGGCGAGUGGCGAACGGGUGAGUAAUAUAUCGGAACGUACCCUAGAGUGGGGGAUAACGUAGCGAAAGUUACGCUAAUACCGCAUACGAUCUAAGGAUGAAAGUGGGGGAUCGCAAGACCUCAUGCUCGUGGAGCGGCCGAUAUCUGAUUAGCUAGUUGGUAGGGUAAAAGCCUACCAAGGCAUCGAUCAGUAGCUGGUCUGAGAGGACGACCAGCCACACUGGAACUGAGACACGGUCCAGACUCCUACGGGAGGCAGCAGUGGGGAAUUUUGGACAAUGGGCGAAAGCCUGAUCCAGCAAUGCCGCGUGAGUGAAGAAGGCCUUCGGGUUGUAAAGCUCUUUUGUCAGGGAAGAAACGGUGAGAGCUAAUAUCUCUUGCUAAUGACGGUACCUGAAGAAUAAGCACCGGCUAACUACGUGCCAGCAGCCGCGGUAAUACGUAGGGUGCAAGCGUUAAUCGGAAUUACUGGGCGUAAAGCGUGCGCAGGCGGUUUUGUAAGUCUGAUGUGAAAUCCCCGGGCUCAACCUGGGAAUUGCAUUGGAGACUGCAAGGCUAGAAUCUGGCAGAGGGGGGUAGAAUUCCACGUGUAGCAGUGAAAUGCGUAGAUAUGUGGAGGAACACCGAUGGCGAAGGCAGCCCCCUGGGUCAAGAUUGACGCUCAUGCACGAAAGCGUGGGGAGCAAACAGGAUUAGAUACCCUGGUAGUCCACGCCCUAAACGAUGUCUACUAGUUGUCGGGUCUUAAUUGACUUGGUAACGCAGCUAACGCGUGAAGUAGACCGCCUGGGGAGUACGGUCGCAAGAUUAAAACUCAAAGGAAUUGACGGGGACCCGCACAAGCGGUGGAUGAUGUGGAUUANUUCGAUGCAACGCGAAAAACCUUACCUACCCUUGAC